CGCGCAGGCGGCCUAUCAAGUCAGGCGUGAAAGCCCCGGGCUUAACCUGGGAAUUGCGCUUGGGACUGACGGGCUGGAGUUCGGGAGAGGAGAGUGGAAUUCCCAGUGUAGAGGUGAAAUUCGUAGAUAUUGGGAAGAACACCGGUGGCGAAGGCGGCUCUCUGGACCGAUACUGACGCUGAGGCGCGAAAGCGUGGGGAGCAAACAGGAUUAGAUACCCUGGUAGUCCACGCUGUAAACGAUGAGAGCUAGUUGUCGGCAUGCAUGCAUGUCGGUGACGCAGCUAACGCAUUAAGCUCUCCGCCUGGGGAGUACGGUCGCAAGAUUAAA
rnacentral:rRNA from 1 species